ACUCAAAUGAAUUGACGGGGGCUCACACAAGCGGUGGAGCAUGUGGCUUAAUUCGAGGCUACGCGAAGAACCUUAUCCCGGGCUUGACAUGUCCGAAAGGGGUAGGAAGUACCCUGCGGAAACGUAAGGGGAACGGUAUCCAGCCCGGAACCUACCACAGGUGCUGCAUGGCUGUCGUCAGCUCGUGUCGUGAGAUGUUGGGUUAAGUCCCGUAACGAGCGAAACCCUUGCCUCCAGUUGCCAGCGGGUAAAGCCGGGGACUCUGGAGGGACUGCCGGUGUUAAACCGGAGGAAGGCGGGGAUGACGUCAAGUCCUCAUGGCCUUUAUGCCCGGGGCUGCACACGUGCUACAAUGGCGUGGACAAAGGGAAGCCAACCCGCGAGGGGGAGCCAAUCCCAGAAAGCACGCCCCAGUUCAGAUCGCGGGCUGCAACCCGCCCGCGUGAAGCCGGAAUCGCUAGUAAUCGCGGGUCAGCAACACCGCGGUGAAUGUGUUCCUGAGCCUUGCACACACCGCCCGU
rnacentral:rRNA from 1 species